AUGGAGGCCUUAUCUGCCCUGGUGCACAAGGCCACGGAGAUUGGAGUUCUUACUGCCUUUGCUGGGAUCACGCCAACACAGAGGCUGUCUAUAUAUGCUGAUGAUGUUGCCAUGUUCACCAGGCCCACGGAGCACGAUUUGGCUGCUGUUACAGAGAUCCUCAAGGCAUUUAGCGAGGCAUCAGGACUUAAAGUGAACUUCCGCAAAUCUACACCAGUUCUCAUAAGAGGGAGUGAGGAAGACAGGGCCAGAGUAGCCAGAAUGCUACAAUGUGACAUCUCAGAGUUCCCCUGCAGAUAUCUGGGAUUGCAACUGGCGCUCAAAAGCCUGACUCGAGCGGAAUGGCAACCCAUGCUGGAUAAAGUGAGGCACUUCAUGCCAGCAUGGCAAAGAGGGCUCAUUCAAAGGCUGGGCCGGCUAAUUUUGGUACAGUCGGUAGUGGCGGCACGCCCAGUUCAUCAUCUUAUGGUGACGGAAGCGCCGGAGUGGGUGCUAGAGGAUAUGAAUAAUGGAUGA
rnacentral:rRNA from 1 species